ensembl:lncRNA
CGGGCAUGAAACAGAGCAGGAACAGUGUCUGGACAGGGGAAAAAUAAUGAUAUCAAUGCUGACACUGGGAACCAAUGGAGGAACAGACAGAAAUAGACUGGGAAAUCAACAAAGGGAAGAAGUCCAGAAUUGCUACCACAAUUUGGCGACGAGGAGGGACAGCUAACCUCUCUUGCUGAUUGCUCCCGAGGAGACCGAGGUUACCUGUGAUCAGGGCUGUGUUAGACAUGGCCCAGGGAGCCGACAAUCCAACUAAAACGGAGAAGAAAUGGACCGGCAGGGAACGGCAGGGAGUGCCAGUGAGUGGAUACGCCAUUCGGAAAUGGAACGCGCAUGAACCAAGAGAUUACGCAAUAAUUUCGACGCAGGACACCGGGCGGACACCUGGUAAAUGUAGUCUCUUAUGGUCAAUCUUCCAAUGAUAUGCCUACAAAUACGUCACAAUGCU